rnacentral:misc_RNA from 1 species
AUUUAAGUUGCAUGGGAGCUGUUUGGCAUCCAGAAUGUUUCCGUUGCCAUGGUUGCAAUCAACCAAUUUCCGACUAUGAGUUUUCAAUGUCAGAUAACCGUCCAUACCAUAAAUCAUGCUACAAGGAACAGCAUCACCCAAAAUGUGAUGUAUGCAAGAGCUUUAUUCCAACAAAUCCGGCUGGUCUAAUUGAAUAUAGGGCUCAUCCUUUCUGGCUUCAGAAGUAUUGCCCAUCACAUGAAACUGAUGGGACGCCUCGUUGUUGCAGUUGUGAGAGAAUGGAGCCCGUAGAUGCCAGAUAUCUGAUACUUGAAGAUGGUAGGAAGCUGUGUCUAGAGUGCUUGGACUCUUCAAUAAUGGACACUCAUGAAUGUCAACCCCUUUAUCUUGAGAUACAAGAAUUUUAUGAAGGUUUAAAUAUGAAAGUAGAGCAGCAAAUUCCUUUGCUUCUAGUUGAAAGACAAGCAUUAAAUGAAGCAAUGGAAGGAGAAAAGAACGGUCAUCAUCACAUGCCUGAGACUCGAGGACUCUGCCUGUCCGAGGAACAGACCAUUAGCAGUAUUUCAAGGAGACCACGGAUUGGUGGUUAUCGGAUUUUAGAUAUGUUUACAGAGCCUUACAGGUUAAUUCGACACUGUGAAGUGACAGCUAUUCUAAUUUUGUAUGGUCUUCCUAGGUUAUUGACUGGUUCAAUUCUGGCUCAUGAAAUGAUGCAUGCAUGGUUGCGGCUUAAAGGUUAUCCGAGUUUAAGUCCAGAAGUGGAAGAAGGUAUCUGCCAAGUUUUAGCUCACAUGUGGUUGGACUCGGAAAUUAUAGCUGGUUCUGGCAGUACUUCAACUUCUGCAUCUACCUCUGCAUCCUCAUCAUCAUCUUCAUCACCAUCUACUUCAUCAAAGAAAGGGAAGCGCUCCGACUUUGAGAAGAAACUGGGUGAUUUUUUUAAGCACCAAAUUGAAUCAGAUACAUCAGCAGCUUAUGGGGAUGGAUUCAGAGAAGGUAACAAGGCAGUGCUCAAGUAUGGCCUUAAGACGACACUUGAUCACAUCCGGCUUACAGGAACCUACCCGUGUUAAAAUUUUCAGUCAUUCCGAGUGUUUCCACUUCCACGCGGAUGUUGUAACAAACCUUCUAUACUAGUUUUGUAGGACCACAUAGCACAUACA